rnacentral:rRNA from 1 species
AUAGCGGAGGAAAAGAAACCAACAGGGAUUGCCCUAGUAAUGGCGAAUGAACAGGCAAAAGCUCAGAUUUGAAACCCUCGGGAUUGUAAUCUGGAGACCUGGAUUUGGCACGCUGACCAAGUCUUCUGGAACGGAGCGCCAUGGAGGGUGACAGCCCCGUAGCAGCAGCCACUGUAAAUCCGGGUCGACGAGUCGAGUUGUUUGGGAAUGCAGCUCUAAGUGGGUGGUAUGCUCCAUCUAAAGCUAAAUAUUGGCGAGAGACCGAUAGCGAACAAGUACUGUGAAGGAAAGAUGAAAAGAACUUUGAAAAGAGAGUGAAAAAGUACGUGAAAUUGUUGAAAUGGAAGGCAAUGAGGUGCGAUUGAACCGGACGUUUGCGGGCAGGACAAAAGCGCAGGCCGCCUCGGCAUUGCCUGCGUGCAUACUGCCUCGCGGACUACCAGUUCUAACAACGCCUUAUUGCACCCGUCUUGAACCACGGAC